rnacentral:rRNA from 2 species
GCAGUCGAACGAACUCUGGUAUUGAUUGGUGCUUGCAUCAUGAUUUACAUUUGAGUGAGUGGCGAACUGGUGAGUAACACGUGGGAAACCUGCCCAGAAGCGGGGGAUAACACCUGGAAACAGAUGCUAAUACCGCAUAACAACUUGGACCGCAUGGUCCGAGUUUGAAAGAUGGCUUCGGCUAUCACUUUUGGAUGGUCCCGCGGCGUAUUAGCUAGAUGGUGGGGUAACGGCUCACCAUGGCAAUGAUACGUAGCCGACCUGAGAGGGUAAUCGGCCACAUUGGGACUGAGACACGGCCCAAACUCCUACGGGAGGCAGCAGUAGGGAAUCUUCCACAAUGGACGAAAGUCUGAUGGAGCAACGCCGCGUGAGUGAAGAAGGGUUUCGGCUCGUAAAACUCUGUUGUUAAAGAAGAACAUAUCUGAGAGUAACUGUUCAGGUAUUGACGGUAUUUAACCAGAAAGCCACGGCUAACUACGUGCCAGCAGCCGCGGUAAUACGUAGGUGGCAAGCGUUGUCCGGAUUUAUUGGGCGUAAAGCGAGCGCAGGCGGUUUUUUAAGUCUGAUGUGAAAGCCUUCGGCUCAACCGAAGAAGUGCAUCGGAAACUGGGAAACUUGA